AGGUGUUUGGGCGCCCUAGAAACAAAAUCGUGCAGGCCUUCUUAAGGCCCAAAGCGGACAAUAUCUUGCCAGGUUUUGGUUUGGUCAUGACAUUAUGGUAUCAGAGCAGCUCUGCGUGUCCUCUUGAGUGAUGGUGGGGCAAACCUCCGUGAGGACGCUGAGUCCCCAAGGGGGGUGAGUGUAACACAGGCGAAUCCUAC
rnacentral:lncRNA from 1 species